CCCUUCGCCCGCGGCCUGGCGAUGUGCUGCCGGAGGAACGCGCGCGGUUACCUGGAUCCGAUUUGUAGGCGUCCCCGAAGCCCGCUGGGUACGCGGGAGACUAGAGGGCAAGAAAAUACAGACAGAUGUCGGAAUGUGGAAGCGGUGACCUCUGACUCGCACAGCAUGGCCACUGCCCUGGCACACAAGUGUCCUGAGCCACCAUCGUAGCAGGAUGCGUUUUGAAGUGACUGACACUUUGAGAUAGAGAUCUUGAAACUGAUUGUGUAGUUAUUUGCAGUCCUCCAAAGUAUCAGUCUUUUUAGUUUUCAUUUUAAGUUUCUCACCUUACCAUUUAUAAAAAUGUUUCUUUGGCUCUGACAGAGCUUUUGUGGCUUCUGGAUGGCUUCUGUAUCCAUAUAGUCGCUAUAAAUCUUUGCCUCCCAAUAAUUUUAGUCAACGUGUUGGGAUAAUGGAGGCUAAGGGAAGCUCAGAUGUACAGUUCUGCUGCAGCAAAGUGUUUGGCCUGCUUUAUUUAGCUAAUACUUUUCUUCUUCUUCUUCUUUUUUUUUUUAACAGACAGAUGAAAGCAGUGGUUUUGUUAAAGGCCUUUUCUUUUAGCCUCUGCUCUGCAAUCUCGCCAAUAACCCCUGGGUUCAGACAGACCAUUAAUGUUUUAGAUACUGUGGCAUUCAGCGCUUUCUUCAUAUAUUUGUUUACUGUUACUGCUUCAAUAAACUUUUACGCCUAUUUCAGUAGUUUUCUGGCAGGAGCUCCGUUUAUUAAAAUUUAGUGACCCAGCACUAAGAGGGGUACAGUUCAAAUAGUGGUGCUUCUGACAGGGUUUUGUGUCAAACUAGAGAAAAUAAUGGGGAAACGAAAGCUGCCAAAAUGUGUCUCCCAAUUACUAAUUAAUAAGGAGAGAAGGGACCUCAGUGAUAGAUCUGGUGUCUGCCAUGGCAGCAACUUGGGAUGCUUUAUUUUAAAUACUGUAUAAAACAAAUUAAAGUAAACCUCAGAGAAUGUAGCACCCAGAUAUUUUAUAUCGCAAGUGAUAAUUUUUUUAAGUCUGUGAAAAUCCAGGCAGAAAACAAAAUUUGAAAUGAAAUCUUUGCACUCUUUACCAAUAGUAUCAAAAUGUAAAGCUAUUCUAAAGAGUAUUUCCCUCAUUAAUAAUGCCUUUAUUCUUAUUAAUAUUUUAGUACAGACAUGAUAGUGCUCUUUGUGGUUUUAGUAUUGGUGUAGCAUUGUAUACAUACUUUAUUGUCAACAAAGAUUCAAGGAAAAAUUUAAAAAUUUUCCCACCAUAUGCUUGUCAUUAAUAUUUUGAAAAUUACUAUGAUUGAAGAACAGAACCUCCCCCCUCACCAUAUAUAUAUAUAUAUAUAUAUUUCUGCCAUCCCAGAGGUUCCAGUCUUUUUCUGGCAGUGUUCCCACUAUGGUUGCUAGAACCAUAAUUAAAUGUCUGUUAUUAGUGUAUUUUUUCCAUAGCAUUUACAGCAUCAAAAGCAAAGGGUCUUGUAUGGAACUAUAGCUGUCAAGGGAACAAUGAAAACUAAUUACACACUCUGCUAUCACCGUGGUCAGCUAUACUCUUGGGAAGACAACGUGACAGAGGUGGUGUGUGUGGAGCGGGUGGGUAUAUGUAUACACGAUAUUCCAUAAGAAUAUGUACACCUAAGGUCAGACAUACCUAUUGGUUUACCAUUAUCCUGUGUUCUCUGAAGGAAAAAAAAUGUAGAAAGGACUAUCUAAUUUAGUUAAUUAAAAUGAAAAAAUGCAGUUCUUUGUUAGGAAGGGGCUCCCUAUUUUAGCAUUCUUCCUUUAUAAUAUGAACUGAGAGAACCAGCGAUAUCUACGAGUCUGAAUAUCUCGUUAUUUUGAAUAUUAUUUUGGCAUGGUCUUGUUAUCAGUACAUAUAUUAACUAUUAUAAUUACGUCUUUUGAAAAUUAUUUUUUUACUUAACUCGAGAUUUUUCAAUGACAUCUGAUUAUUUGAGAGCUAAUCACUUAAUUCAUUUAUUAUGUAAAUCUCUCUAUGGCUGUUUUUCUCUUUUUUUGAUGGCUUUGGCCCAUUUUAUUGUCUCCGGGCCUGUAGACCUGUGGAUAGAUUUGAGAAAGAAAAGGAAACUUAAAAAAAAAAUACUCAAACUUUUAGCAGCUUGGAUAGAAGAUUUGUUAAGGAAAGACCUUAAAGCUAUUGAAUAACAUGAGGGUUUGGAUUCAAUUUUGGAUUUCAGUCAUCCACGCCAUCCCUGUUCUCUGAUACCACAUAGAAUCAGAACUUGGCCCUAUGUAAUGUUUUCCAUUGCUAUUUUCAUUCCUAGGGUGAGCACUCUUAGCUGUAUCUAAAACCAAAGCCAAAUAGAUGAAUUCAGCAACUACAUGUUGAUUUGAACUUAUUUUUCCAAAGUUUUCACAUUGAAGAAAUUCUAUAUUCCUAUAUUCAAUAUGUAAAAGUUAUCAUUGAUAAACUAUUGAGUGAUAUUAUGUGCAGAACACUGGGAGACAUACAGAGGAUUCAGGGAUAGGAGAAUGUUUGCACCUGUAAGGAACUUAAGAGCAUUGUGCAGCUACAAUAAUUGUAUACAUAUAAUUAUAUUACAGAGUAUAAAAUAGUACUAUAAAUGUGCACAUGUAGAUUUACUUGACAGAUAUUUAUGUCAAGUGUCCACUGUGGGCCAGGUACUGUUCUCAGUACUGGAGAUACUGCAGUAAACAGCAUAUAUACAGCAUCCCUGUCAUCAUGAAGCAUUCGAUCUGUAAUUUCUAGGUCACUGUUUCUCACACUGUAAGGUGAACACAGACCUGGAGAUUUCGUUGAAAUGCAGAUUUUAAUUUAGUAGGUCUGGGCUACAUAGGGCCCUGACAGUCUGCAUUUCUAACAAGCUCCCGGAUGACAUUGAUGCUGCUGGCCCAUGAACCGUGGUUUGGACAGCAAGGUUCUAGAUACAGUUAAGUGGGAGAGAGAUUACUUUUGGCUCCUCUUCAAGGACUCUUGGUUGUAUUUGCACUGAACUUUUCAUAGAGUUCUGCAGUUUCUAAAAUGGCUCCCUAUUUAUGUGAAGGAAAAUUAUUUGCCAUUUAGAAAGCCCAGAAUGCCUAGUGUUCCUUUCUAACCACUUUCCUUCAAAACUCAGACAAAUAAAACAGACUUUUACAUUGAGGUUUAUGCUUCAUUGAAAAUACACCACUAACAAAGGUAAUAGGAUGGGGAUUUCAUUAUAAGAUUUGGUCUCUGUAGACAAAUUCCACUGGAAUAAAAAUAUUUCCCUGGUCCAAAAAGUUUAAGGAGGAUCCUGUCAUAAAUGUCUAAGGAUAUUUAUUUGCAAACCCUCCCAAGAUGUAUUUUAUGUGGCAAUGCCAGAAUUACACCUCAGAAACAGAUUUUUAACACUUUCCAAUUUAAAUCCAUGUGGUUAAAUUAACCCCAAAUGUUCUUUUUACAUUCAGCAUAAAAGAUGACUAACAGUUUUUCUACUUUCAAUGUCUGGAUUUCUUGUGGGUGGCUUUCAGGAGCCUGUAAUUUCAAUGGAGUUAUAAAAGACUUGGGACAAAAUGCCUUCUUUCUGUAAAGUUCUAUGAGUCUCAUAGUGAGAAACCUUUGCUCCUGUAGAGUCUGGGUAAUACAAGAUCUGCAAAUAUGCUUCCACUUUUCUCACAGCAUAUAUGUUAUUUGCAUUUUCAAAGCAAAUCUUUGUAUUAACAAGUAAGAAAUGGAACUACUUAAAUUCAGAAGAUUACUCUGUGUUUUUUUUGUGUGUUUUGUUUUUACUGAUCUUCACUCUGUGUAUAUAAAUACAGUAUUACUAAUCUAAAUGAACUGUCAAAUCUUUGAAAGCAUCAGUUAAGUAGACUGACUUAAUUGAAAUAUACCUCUAUGGAAUGAUUAUUUUAAAAAAAGAUAAAACGGUUUGUACUUUAAGUCAAGUGUAUUUUUAUGAAAGGAAAUAGAUGAACAAGACAGUGGCAACUUCAUUUAAGUAUUCUUUUACUUUAAAAACAAAUUUUUACCAAUACGUUUCGAUAAUUUUAAAACAGAAGCAAAUAUUUUUCUUUUUAAAUCUGCAAUGGAUUUAAUUAGAACUUUGGGUACUAUUUCAUAAUAACUAUGACUAUUAUUUAGUAAGAUAGUACUGUUUUGUUAGUUUAUGUUUAUGUUCACUGUGGUGUAAAUGAGAGUUCUCAAACAGUGAAUUUGGGGGUGACAGGCACUUAGUGUUUCCAGUUUUUUGAUUCUCAUUGAUCCUGAAAUACGAGAAUCUUCCGUGACUCUGCGUGAACUUAAGUGGCUCCUAAAAGAACUAUGCUAUAUGCUUCAAAGAUAGUUAAAUUUAGGAAUAGGAUAUAGUCAUUGAUUAAAGUGAAGUAAUUUGCAUAUCUCUAAGGAAUGGGUUUGUUGAAAAUAGAGUUGAUAUACCUAAGAUUUGUGUUUUGGAUGAAGUAGAAGAUGCUCAGUAGUUCUUAAUACUGUUUUUCCACCUCCAUUUUUUAAAAAAGAAAAUAAGCACAUUAAAUGGUUUUUAUUUAACUCAGAGUUAUUAACAGUGACUUGUCAUCAUAUUGAUAUGUUGUAACCAAGUUCUUCUGUAUACUAAUACAUGUUCCUAUACAGAUUAUUUAACUGCAUGUAGUAAAAACAUUGUGUUUAUGUACUUUUUUGUUUUGAAUUUUUACAAUAGCAACUGUUACAGAUCAAAUUUCAAAUUUGUUUGGGUGUUGGAUAGGCAAGGACUCAGAAAGUAAGAUAUUAAAAAACCCGUAUCAGAUUAGAUUUGUCACUUGUCUGUUAACAUUUUUUGGUUUUAUUUCAGAGCUAAUUUAAUUUCAGUUCUGUCUGAGUUGUAAGUAUGCCAUUUAUAGUGGUGAAUCUAAGCCUCAGUUUCUUUACCCUAAUAGAUAAAUGGGUAUAAUAAAAAUAUAUCCCUCAGACUUGUGAAAAUUUAAAGGAAUGUGUAUAUGUGACCAGACUUUAAAAACUGAUAUAAAACUUGUAAAAAGGAUAAAGUCAAUCAUUUCUCAAUAAAUUGGGGGGAAAAUAGAGAUUUAAGGGGAGUUACCUCACUUUAUAUAUCUUCUUGUGAAUCUCACUUUAUAUACAUCUGGUAAGUUGCAUAGAAAAUACAUUCUUACAAAUAACACUUAUUUUAAAAGCAUCACAGAAGAGUUGACUUUUUAAAAGAUAGACCAAAUUGUAUCAUUUUGUAAUGUAUGUUGUUCCUGAGAGAUGAUUUGUACAUUUACAUUGGGUUUUAUUUAAAGGAAUUUGCAUUUUAGGUUUUGUCUUGUGAUUUCUAAAAGAGUAAUAAUGUGUAAAGAGUGACUUGAGAGGCAAGUCUUCCAGGAUCUUCUUCCCCAGAAAGGAAUUUUGAAUCUCCUUUGUAAAAUUGGCCAGGUUUAUUUUUAAUGCCCUCUCUUCCCCUCUCAGUUUGUCUCUGCUAUAUUGUUUCUUCUUUGACUUCUAAAAUCCUGAUACUCUGCUUUGGACUUCAUAGUUAUAAUGAGAUAUCUCCAUCUCAAAGGAGAAAUUAAUGAAUACCGACAUCCUCUUGGAGGAUGCUUGUAUUUCCAAUGAGGAGCUUGUUGAAACAAAUCAAUUCCUAUCUGGGCCUGCUCCUUACGGGUAGCUGGGCUGUCCCUGGGAUCCUUGGAUUUUUCUGAAUUCUGCUGCUAGAAGAGCAGGGUUUAGCCCCUUGACGCUCUGCUUGAGAACUCUUGCUAUUGACUAUCUUAAACUUAGUACAUAUUAUACACACAUUGAUGUGAGAGGCAUAAAUAGAUCAUAACAACAUGUAGCUGAGAAAGGAAACAGGAUUUGUCAAGGAACACAUAUUUUAAUGCAUUGAAACCUGCGCAAUACAUUACUGCCAAAGGGCUGCUUUCCUAUAGAAUUGUCUGGUGGUUAUUCAAAGCCAGUUUUACUUCCUAUGUUUAUAGUUGUUUAGGUGGAUAGCAAAUGUGCCUGUUACUUUUUAAAAAAUUUCCGUCAUAUACUUACAUAAUCAUUUUGUAACGUUGUUUUACUCCUGAAGGUACAAACCUCAUUUAUGCCAGAAAAAAGUAAUUCAUAAGGUAAAUUAUCAAUGAUCCUUAUGUGCCGUACCCAGAAAUUUAGUGAUGUCGGUGGGCAGAACUUGGCCACUAGCAAUGAAAAUAUUGAGUCUAACAUAAGCCAUACCAAAAUUAUUUGAAAGAACACUGCGAACUCUGCUUAACAGAUUUCUCUUAAAAGUACAGCAUUUUAAUAUUUACAAUCACUGUGCUCAAAGGAAAGUUAGGUUUAGCUUUGUUGCUCUUAGAUCAUUUUGUACAAAAGCAGGUUUCUUUUUUCCUCCUACAUUGGAAGUUAAAAUUUGUUGAGGGAAUGAACUUGCUAUGAGUUUAUUUCAAGUUUAACGGUUGGUAAUUGUAUGUUACUUGGAUUCCAUGUCUGGUAAAUGAUAUUAGUUACAGUCCCUCCCUUGCUCCAGGCUUGCUUUCUUGGCAAAAGGGUAGUCAAGAAGUUUAAAUUUUGAUAACUUACUUAUUGACAUUUUGUAUUAUUAAAAUACUAAUUCCUUAUAUUCUUGUAUAUCAGUUAAAAAAUAUCAACCAAAGACUACGUCUCAGCCAGGCUUACUCAGUUUUUUAUUUUUUUCCAUGAGAGCAUGUUGAUUGAUCAAAUUGCAUGUGUAUAGCUAUCUAGUAAUUCCUUAAGAUGUUGAAAUGAUUGGAUUGAGUUGCAGCUUAAUUAUUCAGCUUUUAUUAAUAUGGUAAAUAAUGUACAAAAGGCUAGAGCUGAACGGAUUCCAGUGCAUGUGAUGAAUUUAGAUAGUUGAAUAGGCUAAUCCUAGUGCAUCACCUUUUACCUCAUUUUUUUGGAGGGAGGGAUGGUUUGAAUUAUCUAUUUCUCUUAGUGAAAGGCUGAGUUAUGUCAAUGUAUUUUACAUGUUUAAAAUACAGAAGAUGCUCUUUAGUACUAAGAUUGUCAUAAACUAGAAUUGUAACUGCACCGUUGUAAAUUCUCUUCAACUUCUCUUUUUAAAGUUUUUAGAUCAUUUGGUUCUGUUCUUAUGGAAAUGUUGCAAAAUGUGAAUGGAAUAUACAGUUAAGUCUUUUAGCAAAAGGAACAAAGUCUAUUUAAUGAUUUGAAUGGAAUAAUGAGUAUUAUAGUUGGUUAUGGCAGACAACUAUGGAUUUCUUCCUCAGGUAUCUAACACAUCUUCAGUAAUUUUAUAUAGCCUUAAUCAUUUUAGUAAAAUUUCCCAACUGUCACUUUGGGUUAGUUCUGUGGCAAUUGACCUUUAAAAAAAAGUUUAAACCAGCUGGCAAAUACAAAAAUCCUUACAGUUAAGUAGUUUCGUAUUUAAUAUAGAGGGUCUGUCUACAUUUAUGUCAACAGAAUGCAACGUACACCCACAGGAAAGCUUUAUUGGCUCUAAUAUGGUAUUAGAACAAACUCCAUCUCACCUCCCACCUGCUGUCCCAUAGUAAGCCUCUUUUACUGGCAGGAAGAGAAUAUUUGUGACUUUUUUUUUUUUUAGUCACUCUCUUCAUAGCCAUAGAUUAACCUUUCCAAUCUCUUG